CGUAAUUAUUUAACUUAUUAUAAAGUGACAGUUAAUGGUAAUGUUAAAGAACUUACUACGUUGUGUAUCGUGUUUUCCAUAUUAUUUUGAAAAAAGGCUUAGACAAUGAUUUUAAGGACCUUUAUUUAUGAACCAACAAGAUUUAGAUUUCAUCCAAAAUUAUCAAAGAGAUUUUUGAAUUUAAAUCAUGUUAUAAAUUUCGGUGAAGUAUACAGAAAUAUGACAGGAUAAUUAUUAUUUUUUAUAAGUGUGUAACAAGC